AGAAAGUUUAUAUUUUGUUCCAUUGGUAACGUCACUCAUUUGUAUUCAGUUUCUGUUUGCAUCUGUUUGUGUGAGAAGAUUUUUGGCUGUUCUAACUAAUUUCAUCAUUUGGUUUUCGCUUCUGCGUUCAUCUACAGAAGGUGUGGACUAAAACACCAGCAAGCUGAGUGAGACUGCUGGAGCCCUACUGUAUCUGCAAGAACAUUCUGUGGAUUCUAUCCUUCAUUCCACCGGAGUCUGUGUCUUUAUCUAAACAGAUUUCAGUGAAGUGAAGUGUAAGAGACAUGGAACUCGAACCUCACAACCUUACUGAGCGUAUGAGUCCAUUUCCAAAGUGCUGCAGCAAGAAAAGUAAUAAGUAAUAAGUCUAAUAAUUUACACCUAACAAUAUCAAUGGAAAACAUGGAUUGUGUAUUAUUGAUCGUGGUCUGGGAGGAAUGUCAUUGCACUUUACAACAACUGCUGAUGUAAAAGGGGCUAUAUAAAUGCAUUUGGUUGAUUGAUUGCUAAUUUAAUCUUCAUCAUAAAUGUAAAUGUUUUGCAAUCUGA